UCAGGAUGAACGCUAGCGGGAGGCUUAACACAUGCAAGCCGAGGGGUAUAUUUCUUUCGGGAGAUAGAGACCGGCGCACGGGUGCGUAACGCGUAUGCAACUUGCCCUACUGAAAAGGAUAGCCCUUCGAAAGGAGGAUUAAUACUUUAUAAUAGAAAUCAUGGCAUCAUGAAUUUUUGAAAGAUUUAUCGCAGUAGGAUAGGCAUGCGUAAGAUUAGUUAGUUGGUGAGGUAACGGCUCACCAAGACGAUGAUCUUUAGGGGGCCUGAGAGGGUGAACCCCCACACUGGUACUGAGACACGGACCAGACUCCUACGGGAGGCAGCAGUGAGGAAUAUUGGACAAUGGGUGGAAGCCUGAUCCAGCCAUCCCGCGUGUAGGAUGACGGCCUUAUGGGUUGUAAACUACUUUUAUCUGGGGAUAAACCUACUUACGUGUAAGUAGCUGAAGGUACCAGAAGAAUAAGCACCGGCUAACUCCGUGCCAGCAGCCGCGGUAAUACGGAGGGUGCAAGCGUUAUCCGGAUUUAUUGGGUUUAAAGGGUCCGUAGGCGGAUUAAUCAGUCAGUGGUGAAAUCUCAUAGCUUAACUAUGAAACUGCCAUUGAUACUGUUAGUCUUGAGUGAUGUUGAAGUUGCUGGAAUGUGUAGUGUAGCGGUGAAAUGCUUAGAUAUUACGCAGAACACCAAUUGCGAAGGCAGGUGACUAAAC
rnacentral:rRNA from 1 species